CAGCACCUCAAGUGGUCAGGAUGAUUAUUGGGCCUAAAGCAUCCGUAGCCGGCGCUGUAAGUUUUCGGUUAAAUCUGUACGCUCAACGUACAGGCUGCCGGGAAUACUGCAGCGCUAGGGAGUGGGAGAGGUAGACGGUACUCGGUAGGAAAGGGUAAAAUCCUUUGAUCUAUUGAUGACCACCUGUGGCGAAGGCGGUCUACCAGAACACGUCCGACGGUGAGGGAUGAAAGCUGGGGGAGUAAACCGGAUUAGAUACCCGCGUAGUCC
rnacentral:rRNA from 1 species